rnacentral:rRNA from 1 species
CACGUAGGGGGCAAGCGUUGUCCGGAUUUAUUGGGCGUAAAGAGCUCGUAGGUGGCUGAGUAAGUCGGAUGUUAAAUCCCCAGGCUCAACCUGGGACACCACCCGAUACUGCUCUGGCUAGAGUCCGGUAGGGGAGCGUGGAAUUCCUGGUGUAGCGGUGAAAUGCGCAGAUAUCAGGAGGAACACCGGUGGCGAAGGCGGGACUCUGGGCCGAUACUGACGCUGAGGAGCGAAAGCGUGGGGAGCGAACAGG